AAGCAUUGAUGGAGGGCACAAUCACAUUUACUCUUUAAACCUAUCUCAAGCUUUGUACAUUGAUUCACCUUCCCUUUGAGAAAAACCAGUGAUUUGAUUUCUUAGUUG